AUGCCUCUCCUUAAUGUCAAUAUGUCUUGUCCAUUUCUGUUCUGGUUAGUGUUUAUUGGCUUAUUUCACUGUAGAGCCUCUAGUCCUGCUCACUAUACCUUAUCCAACCUAUUAGUUCCACCACCCACACAUGCAAUGACAUCUCCUGGUUUCAACGAUGUUUCUAGAGACAAUAUCUCUCUCUUCAUCACUCAAUACCUAGGUUUACCUCCACUGUAUUCACAUCCUACCAUACAUUUGUCUGUACAUUAUACCUUGAUGCUAUUUUAUCGCCCCCAGAAACCUCCUUUUACUCUAUGUUCCAGACGUUCUAGACGACCAAUUCUCAUAGCUUUUAGCCGUACCCUUAUUCUACUCCUCCUAUGUUCCUCUGGCGAUGUAGAGGUGAAUCCAGGCCCUGCAGUGCCUAGCUCCACUCCUAUUCCCCAGGCGCUCUCUUUUGACGACUUCUGUAACCGUAAUAGCCUUGGUUUCAUGCAUGUUAACAUUAGAAGCCUCCUCCCUAAGUUUGUUCUAUUCACUGCUUUAGCACACUCUGCCAACCCGGAUGUUCUAGCUGUGUCUGAAUCCUGGCUUAGGAAGACCACCAAAAACUCAGACAUUUUAAUUCCAAACUACAACAUUUUCAGACAAGAUAGAACUGCCAAAGGGGGCGGUGUUGCAAUCUACUGCAAAGAUAGCCUGCAGAGUUCUGUCCUACUAUCCAGGUCUGUACCCAAACAAUUUGAACUUCUACUUUUAAAAAUCCACCUCUCUAAAAACAAGUCUCUCACCGUUGCCGCCUGCUAUAGACCACCCUCUGCCCCCAGCUGUGCUCUGGACACCAUAUGUGAACUGAUUGCCCCCCAUCUAUCUUCAGAGUUCGUGCUGCUAGGCGACCUAAACUGGAACAUGCUUAACACCCCAGCCAUCCUACAAUCUAAACUUGACGCCCUCAAUCUCACACAAAUUAUCAAUGAACCUACCAGGUACCUCCCCAAAACCUUAAACACGGGCACCCUCAUAGAUAUCAUCCUAACCAACUUCCCCUCUAAAUACACCUCGGCUGUCUUCAACCAAGAUCUCAGCGAUCACUGCCUCAUUGCCUGCAUCCGUAAUGGGUCAGCGGUCAAACGACCUCCACUCAUCACUGUAAAACGCUCCCUGAAACACUUCUGCGAGCAGGCCUUUCUAAUCGACCUGGCCGGGGUAUCCUGGAAGGAUAUUGAUCUCAUCCCGUCAGUAGAGGAUGCCUGGAUAUUUUUUUUAAAUGCCUUCCUAACCAUCCUAAAUAAACAUGCCCCAUUCAAGAAAUUUAGAACCAGGAACAGAUAUAGCCCCUGGUUCUCCCCAGACCUGACUGCCCUUAACCAACACAAAAACAUCCUAUGGCGUUCUGCAUUAGCAUCGAACAGCCCCCGUGAUAUGCAGCUGUUCAGGGAAGCUAGAAAUCAUUAUACACAGGCAGUUAGAAAAGCCAAGGCUAGCUUUUUCAAGCAGAAAUUUGCUUCCUGCAACACUAACUCAAAAAAGUUCUGGGACACUGUAAAGUCCAUGGAGAAUAAGAACACCUCCUCCCAGCUGCCCACUGCACUGAAGAUAGGAAACACUGUCACCACUGAUAAAUCCACCAUAAUUGAGAAUUUCAAUAAGCAUUUUUCUACGGCUGGCCAUGCUUUCCACCUGGCUACUCCUACCCCGGACAACAGCACUGCACCCCCAACAGCAACUCGCCCAAGCCUUCCCCAUUUCUCCUUCUCCCAAAUCCAUUCAGCUGAUGUUCUGAAAGAGCUGCAAAAUCUGGACCCCUACAAAUCAGCCGGGCUAGACAAUCUGGACCCUUUCUUUCUAAAAUUAUCUGCCGAAAUUGUUGCCACCCCUAUUACUAGCCUGUUCAACCUCUCUUUCGUGUCGUCUGAGAUUCCCAAAGAUUGGAAAGCAGCUGCGGUCAUCCCCCUCUUCAAAGGGGGGGGACACUCUUGA
rnacentral:lncRNA from 1 species